UUUCUCAUUCAUUAAAGCAUUUCAUCCUCAAAUUAGGUUUUCAAUAUGCGAUUCAGAAAUCUAUAUUUCUUUCGCUCUCAGAUCUAAACAAGGUUCUAGUACCAAUUUCUAAUUUUGGUUUCCACUUUGAUCUUGAUUUUACGAUUUUGAAACAAAGUUGUUUUAUGAUUGUUUCACAGAAUUCAAUCAUGCGUCAAUAUUUGCUUAGGUUUUGAUAUUUUCAACUUGAUAAGGAAAUCAAAGAUGCAUAUUUUGAGUUCUUUCCCAACCAUUCCCACAACAAAUUUUUGAUUCUUAUGCUAUUAGAUUGAAAUAAGUUUCAAGUACCGAUUUUAUUUACAGUUUUCGUCUUUGAUUACAAAAUUUUGAAAGUAGGUAUGCAGUUCGAUUUUCACACAAUUCGAGACUUUCUCUUCUUUGAUUGCAUUGUUGCAACCAUUUUCUUUAAACCCUAUUUUUUUUACAGUGUUAACUUUAUUAUAAGCAAUGAAUUUGGGAAGGAAAUGGAUUUGUUCUGCAACUAUGAUAGUUGGAGCCUACUCACUGUUUGCUAGAAUGAUUGAACCUCAAUUUGAUACACCUAUGUUUUGGUUCUAGGAGUUGUGGACUUGUGGCUAGCUAUGAUAGUUACUUGAAAUUUGGGGGUAGAUUUCCUUUGGUAGUGCUGACUUUCUUUUGUUAUCACUAGUAAUCAAAAUAUUUUUGUCCUCUUAUAUUAUUUUAGUUGGUUGAUGUAUGGUCAAUGGUAGUCACAAUGUGGUUUUAAGGUUGUAAGAAGGUGAUGAAAGGGUUUUGAGUUUUGGGUUGGGUUUGGAAUUUGAAAGUGCUAUUGUGGCAAGUGAAUGAUUGGUGAAAGGGGAAAGAGUGAGGAUGAGUUGUUGUUAUAGUUGAGUGUAGCUAAGAAGGAGACAUGCAUAGGAAAACAGAGCCAUUGAAAAUAGCAUGUGUGAGUGAAUGAGUAUUAAGGUGUGGAUUGUACUUAUUAUAUAGAGCAGAUAAUAAAUGUGAAUUUAUAAAAGAAUGGUGAAAUCGAAGUGAAGUUCAAAAAGAAGAUGCAUUAACGUUUGUUGAGUGGGUAUAUUCAUACAUGAUUUCAUUUUGUCACAAUCUUUACAAUUGCAUGAUUUAACUUUGUCAGAGUCCAUACAAUUGCUGAUUUUUUCAAUUUUAUCAUAAAUUCUAAUAGAAAUAUAGAAUUGGGAUUAGGAUGUGGUAUUUGUUAGUUUAAAAACAAGUCUCAAAUUACUCAAUUGGUCUUCAAUGCAGAAAAGGAAAAAGCCUUAUGAGAACAUAUGUGUCUAUUCCAAUGGUAGAUGGGUACGUGACAAGAAAGGCCCUCUAUAUAAUGAUACCACUUGUAGAAAUAUCAAAAUCAAACAAAGCCAAAAUUGUAUAAUCAAUGGAAGGCAUGAUUCAAAUUAUCUUUACUAGAGAUGGAAACCAAGUCAAUGCAAUCUUCCAAGGUUUGAACCUCACUCUUUUCUCCAACUCAUUAAGAAUAAGCAUGUAGCUUUUGUUGGAGACUUUAUUUCUAGGAACCAAAUAGAGUCCCUUCUUUGCAUGUUAGACACUUCUUCAACCCCUAAAUGUUUCAAACAACAUGGUUCUGGUAGGUGCAACUUUGCUUCUUACAAUGCAAACCUUUUCUUACUUGUGGAUUUGCUACCCUUGCAGGUGUUAUCAAGGAAGCAAUCAAUACAUUAAGGAGUAAUAAUGUUAAUGCAUUUGUGUUGGAUCUAAGAGAUAAUAGGUGAUUUAACACUUAACAUUUCCAAUUUUAUACUUUCACCGAGACUAGACUUCUCAGCUUAAAUUUGUUGCAGUGUUGGUCUUUUCCCAAAAGGAAUUCAGAUUGCCAAAUUUUGGUAAGAUAUGCCUACCAAUUAAUUAAAUUUUUACAUUUUGUAUUAUCUUUGACUGGUGGAGCUUGAAAUUAGCUGCAUAGUUUUACUAUCUUUUAAGAUACAAUUAUUUCAUGUAUUUUCAGUUAGGGCCACUCCAUUUCUAAUAAAUUGGAGGCGUUGGUACUAUACUUGAAAGUGGUCAAUAUCCUAAUGUUGCUCAAAUUUUCAUGGCCUCUUCUACAAUUGUGAAUGAUAGCACAGGUGAA
rnacentral:lncRNA from 1 species